UAGAAUAAAGCUCGCUGGAUAGAGUGUUUAGCUGUUAACUAAAAUGUUACGGGGUCGAGGCCCGUUAUUCUAG
rnacentral:tRNA from 1 species